rnacentral:rRNA from 1 species
AUGCAAGUCGAGCGGGGGAAGGUAGCUUGCUACCGGACCUAGCGGCGGACGGGUGAGUAAUGCUUAGGAAUCUGCCUAUUAGUGGGGGACAACAUCUCGAAAGGGAUGCUAAUACCGCAUACGUCCUACGGGAGAAAGCAGGGGAUCUUCGGACCUUGCGCUAAUAGAUGAGCCUAAGUCGGAUUAGCUAGUUGGUGGGGUAAAGGCCUACCAAGGCGACGAUCUGUAGCGGGUCUGAGAGGAUGAUCCGCCACACUGGGACUGAGACACGGCCCAGACUCCUACGGGAGGCAGCAGUGGGGAAUAUUGGACAAUGGGGGGAACCCUGAUCCAGCCAUGCCGCGUGUGUGAAGAAGGCCUUAUGGUUGUAAAGCACUUUAAGCGAGGAGGAGGCUACUUUAGUUAAUACCUAGAGAUAGUGGACGUUACUCGCAGAAUAAGCACCGGCUAACUCUGUGCCAGCAGCCGCGGUAAUACAGAGGGUGCGAGCGUUAAUCGGAUUUACUGGGCGUAAAGCGUGCGUAGGCGGCUUAUUAAGUCGGAUGUGAAAUCCCCGAGCUUAACUUGGGAAUUGCAUUCGAUACUGGUGAGCUAGAGUAUGGGAGAGGAUGGUAGAAUUCCAGGUGUAGCGGUGAAAUGCGUAGAGAUCUGGAGGAAUACCGAUGGCGAAGCAGCCAUCUGGCCCUAAUACUGACGC